UACGUAGGGUGCGAGCGUUAAUCGGAAUUACUGGGCGUAAAGGGUGCGCAGGCGGUUUUGCAAGCCAGACGUGAAAUCCCCGGGCUUAACCUGGGAACUGCGUUUGGAACUGCAAGACUAGAGUGUGUCAGAGGGAGGUGGAAUUCCACGUGUAGCAGUGAAAUGCGUAGAUAUGUGGAGGAACACCGAUGGCGAAGGCAGCCUCCUGGGAUAACACUGACGCUCAUGCACGAAAGCGUGGGGAGCAAACAGG
rnacentral:ncRNA from 2 species